GCCGGUCUGGCUGCGAUGGGGGAGGGCUACGCUGGGGAGCUGCGGGUAAGGGCAGCUGUCACCGUUUUCAGUUGUUGGUCGGUGUCCUGUGUGGCAUUGUGGGUUUGCCUGUAACCACCACAUGUUCAUUCAUUUAACUAGCACGAUCAAGCACCCACAAGUUUCAGCCACUGCUGGGAGUAAAGAGGGGAACGAGGUGCAUGCCCGGAGAACCCGCACCCACCAUCCAGAUUUGAAGUCCUUCCCCCAGGCCCUGGACGGGGAAACUCAGGACUCCUCUCCGGGUAGAGUCUGGCAGCAGUCGGGCCAGAACAGCUCAGUGCUGCCCUCUGGGGGCGAGGCCGCGGCUUCCUCCUGCUCAGCCCCAGCCUGGGUUGGAAGGAGCCCACCCAGCUAAGCGUGGCGAGACCCGACAGAGGGGUGGGCGCAGUCACUGCCCACACACCUGCAAGGCACGCCUGGACGCACAUCCGCAUGUGGCCAUGCACAGGUGUGCACACGGACUUUACCCUCGUUCGUUUGUAUUAUGUCCCCCGUUGGUGUCACACCCCGCGUGGGAAGCCCAGAAGCCGCUGCCGCUCCUCAGGAGUUGACAGGAGGGAGAGGUCCCCGCGGGUGGAGCGUGUCUGCUCCAGGGACCCUCAGACUCGGGGCCGGGCAAGCUGGAGGGAAGGCUGGUUUUGGGGUUAGCAGUUUAUUAACAGAGGGACUUGAGCGGGUGGGCGUGGGGGAGGGACACGUGCCAAAGGCAGGGAAGGGCUUUUUUGAGAUGGAGGGAUGGGGGAUAGGGGGUGAUACACAGCGCAGGCCAGCUUCAGAAGGGAAUGUUGUGUCCAUGCGCCUGGAGGCAGAGGCAUGGACACACGGCCCAGCCGGGGCCUGGUGCUCUGGCUGUUAAGGGACUAGAGACGGUGAAGCUGAAGAUGGCGAGGAGGAGCCAGGACCCUGGGGGAGAAGGAGUAGUUUGCAGAGCGCAGGUGGAGGAUGGGUCUCCAGGGUCCCUGCAUUCCUCCCGCGGCCUCGCGGGCUCCUCUCGGGACUGCAGCGCAGAGGCGCCACCCAAGAUGGCCAGCAGAGGGCGCUCCUGCUACAGAUUUGGGGAUCCCGGGCGGCCGGAGCGUGUCCCCGUUUAACAGGGCAUGAGCCUUGGAAGGCGGCUGGGCCUGGGGUCUCCAUGGGGAGCACUAGAGCCUGCCCCUUGGGAGCCACCGAGCACAAGAAUGAGGAGAGACGACCUCAUGAGGUGGGAACCCCACAGGGUUCCAUGCAUCCUUUUCUGCUGCUGCCGGGUCAGGCAUUUGUCUGGUCAAUGCUUCCAUCCUUUUGUCCCAAGGUGGUGCCUUUUAAAUCACCCCCGGAGAUGUGACUGGCCCGCCUAACCUGCCCUGGAGGUCUUCCUCCAGGCCAGGGGUCUGUUAGGGCCAGCUAGCCUUUCUAGAAAGUUCCCUGGGUUCUAGCCCCUGCAGCUUCCCUGGUGGCCCCUUGCUCCUGCUUCCUGUCCCUGCCUCUGGGAGGAGGACUUGCUUGUCUGGUCUCCUUCCUCACCCUGCCUCAUCCAAGGAGGCUUCUCCAUCGCUGCCGGUGCAUCCUGCAGUUCUGAGGACCAGACGCACCCUUGGUCUUCUGCCGUAAAGAGUUACGGGCGUUCACGCAGCUGGCGGGUGAACACUGCCAGGUCCCCUGCUUGGCUUGAGGUGUGGCAGCCGCCAUCAACUACUGGGGGAGGCGACUAGGGAGGAGAAAAUCCCUUCGGUUGUGAAUUCUGCCUUCCACCUCCCAGCAUCUCCACCUGGACAGAGGGACCACACACUCAAGCCAUUUACUCAUUGAUUUUUAAAUUAAAUUAAAUUAAAUUUAUUUUAAAAU
rnacentral:lncRNA from 1 species